rnacentral:rRNA from 1 species
GACGAACGCUGGCGGCGUGCUUAACACAUGCAAGUCGAACGAGAAAGCCCGCUUCGGUGGGUAAGUAAAGUGGCGCACGGGUGAGUAACACGUGGGUAACCUACCUUCCAGAUGGGGAUAACACACCGAAAGGUGUGCUAAUACCGUAUAAUACUACAAUGUUAAUUAUUUUGUAGUCAAAGAUGGCUUCGGCUAUCGCUGGGAGAUGGGCCCGCGGACCAUUAGCCAGUUGGUGAGGUAAAAGCUCACCAAAGCUACGAUGGUUAGCUGGUCUGAGAGGAUGGCCAGUCACACUGGAACUGGAACACGGUCCAGACUCCUACGGGAGGCAGCAGUGAGGAAUUUUGCGCAAUGGGGGAAACCCUGACGCAGCAACGCCGCGUGAGUGAAGAAGGCCUUCGGGUUGUAAAGCUCUGUCAGAGUUGAAGAAACAGUUAUAGGUUAAUACCCUAUGACCUUGACGGUAAGCUCAAAGGAAGCACCGGCUAACUCCGUG